UGUGAAACGUGACGAUGUUUACAUGAUUACUUUGCUAUUAUGUAGAAUUCUGUAAUAAAAUCUUUGUUUUUAUUUUACAUUCGGUAUAUAUGGAGGCUGACCUUUAUCAGCGAGAUUUCAAGUGCCAAGGAAUAGACGACAAUGAUAUAAAUAGUAAGCGUUCGGCGUUAGGUCAAUAUUAUAAUCGGUUCAUGUUGUAUUUUAAUAUACAUUUCUAAUUUGUUCUAAUUUUGUUCGAUUCUAGAUCAUCGACAAGUAUACGUUGGUGUUCAUAUACCAAUUAAACCGACUCGGGCACGUCGGCAUCAUCGCAGUCAUCAUUAUCCGUCUGCGAGCAAGAAUAAACCCGUGAGAAAGAGCUCAACAAAAAAAACACAAAAUGGAACAGUUGGUAA